GAAACGCCCCUUAGACUUGGGACUCUUUCCCUAUAAUGACCACAGGAGGGCACUCUCCGAUCUCUGUAAAAAGCUUCUGGCUGCUCAAGCUGGAGGAGGUAAACUGAUUCAGCGGUGUGCUGUCAGGGCUGUCAGGACUCAUUAGAGCCGUCUCAUUAAAGUGAUGUCAGUGGCUCUCCAUUAGCAGUAAACUGAACAGCUGCCUUGCCUCGAGGCCAAGUCAACAAGUGCACUUUGUCGGUCAGCGCGGCCUGCGGGGUUAACCUGCUCAAGAUAGCAAAGAACAACCAAGGUGGAAAUCCACAGCGGGGAUACUUUUAUCGAGCAUUCCUAAGGCACAAAACAGGAAGGUGGAGAAGCGGAAUUGUAAAGGUCCACGUUCCAUGGGGGUGACUGAGAGUGUGUCUUCAGCUUUCCAGAAGACCCCCUCUACCACUGUCAACUCACCUGUUCUAGCCCUUUAUGCAAACAAAUGCACCAACCUGGGAGAAAAUGUGGUUGAGGAUAUAAGAUGAGCAAUGAAUUGAGUUUGAGGAGGGGCUGGGCUUUGCAACCCACAUCCCCUACACACCAACCCUCCCCUACAGGCUUUCUCUCAGGUUUGUAGUGUAGAGAGAGGCAUGCCGGCUGUCCCAAAGCGUUUCGCCUCUGUGAACACGCACAAGACGUCCAUUCACGAACGCUGGCCCUACAACUUUGCUCCAUUCCCCCCUCCCUCUGCUCCCUUCAUCUGCAGCUGAAGCAAUUCAACUCGAGCCAAAAGCAGGGACCUUUAAUCUAACAGAAUGUAGUAGGCACCUGAACUACUUAACCGCUGUGCUUCUUCAAGAGGGUGGGCACAGAGGCUAAGGUAACUGGGGUGUAACAGAAAGCCCCGAACUUUAUCCUUGGCCAGGAUGAGUACAUUUCCUUUCUGUUGUUCCCAACAAAGGCCAGCAGGUACAAAUGGUCCGCUAUCUGUGUCACUGGGAAGUGGAGAGCAAUUUGUUUCUAUUAAACAGGACGGUCCUCAUCUUCUCCAUCCACAAUCCCCCUCCCUCCUCCAGGCCCAUAUUGAUUCCAGUGGCUUUUGUGCUGAAGUUAAAACACCGACAAUCGGAAGAUUUAAUUUGAGCCCACCUUGAUCAAGUGGGAACCUCAAAGUCUUUAUCUGUAGGCCUCUAAAAAGCCUGAGAAAUGCAACCAACAAUGGUUGUGAAUGUAAAACAACAACAACAAAUGCAUCUCGUAUAAUGAACAUUGGGGAUGACACGUUGCAACAUUUCGGCAUUGUGUCACAAUUCCACCUUCUGUUGAUGUGUGUUUUGUUUGUGGUUGCAGGCACUGAUAAUGCACAGCAACUCAGCUGUUGCCUUAUCUCUCUCUUACACACACACUCACACCCACCCAUACACAGUCUAAAAUAAAUAUAUGCCUAUAUGUACAGCAUAGCAAAGCAAAGCUUGCCCUGUUUGAUUGAUCCAGGUUCCUGAAGAAAUACAGCAGAGGGCACAUUGUAUUUCAUUCUCGCUGCUUUCAUAAGAAACAGAUCCCCUGACAGUGACAGAGGUACGAUGGCCGCUUUUAGAGAUGGGAAUUUUUUUCUUCUUUUUUUUAAACCUUAACUCAUUCAGCAUGUAAUCACCACAGAGAAGACGUUAGGACAAAAUACAUGACAGGAUGAAAUAAAUCAAACAAUGCAAAAUCUAAC